GACGAACGCUGGCGGCGUGCUUAACACAUGCAAGUCGAACGGAAAGGCCCCUUUGGGGGUACUCGAGUGACGAACGGGUGAGUAACACGUGAGUAACCUGCCCUUGACUUCGGGAUAACUUCAGGAAACUGGGGCUAAUACCGGAUAGGAAUCCUUGCUGCAUGGUGGGGGUUGGAAAGCUUCGGCGGUUUUGGAUGGACUCGCGGCUUAUCAGCUUGUUGGUGGGGUAGUGGCUUACCAAGGCUUUGACGGGUAGCCGGCCUGAGAGGGCGACCGGCCACAUUGGGACUGAGAUACGGCCCAGACUCCUACGGGAGGCAGCAGUGGGGAAUAUUGCACAAUGGGCGGAAGCCUGAUGCAGCAACGCCGCGUGCGGGAUGACGGCCUUCGGGUUGUAAACCGCUUUCAGCAGGGGCGAAGCUUGUGGUGACGGUACCUGCAGAAGAAGCACCGGCUAACUACGUG
rnacentral:rRNA from 1 species